UCGGGAAUAUUGCGCAAUGGAGGAAACUCUGACGCAGUGACGCCGCGUAUAGGAAGAAGUUUUUCGGAAUGUAAACUAUUGUCGUUAGGGAAGAGAAAGGACAGUACCUAAGGAGGAAGCUCCGGCUAACUACGUGCCAGCAGCCGCGGUAAUACGUAGGGAGCGAGCGUUAUCCGGAAUUAUUGGGUGUAAAGGGUGCGUAGACGGGAGAGCAAGUUAGUUGUGAAAUCCCUCGGCUUAACUGAGGAACUGCAACUAAAACUACUUUUCUUGAGUGCAGGAGAGGUAAGUGGAAUUCCUAGUGUAGCGGUGAAAUGCGUAGAUAUUAGGAGGAACACCAGUGGCGAAGGCGACUUACUGGACUGUAACUGACGUUGAGGCACGAAAGUGUGGGGGGCCAAACAGGAUUAGAUACC
rnacentral:rRNA from 1 species